GGGAGGGUGGCCGAGCGGACGAAGGCGACGGUCUUGAAAACCGUUAGCGGGGCAACUCGCUCCCGGGUUCGAAUCCCGGUCCUCCCG
rnacentral:tRNA from 1 species